GACGAACGCUGGCGGCGUGCUUAACACAUGCAAGUCGAACGAUGAAGAAGAGCUUGCUCUUCGGAUUAGUGGCGAACGGGUGAGUAACACGUGACUAACCUGCCCCUUUCUCUGGCAUAACGCUCCGAAAGGAGUGCUAAUACCGGAUACUCACAUCGAGGCACAUGCCUUGAUGUGGAAAGUUUUUCGGAAAGGGAUGGAGUCGCGGCCUAUCAGCUUGUUGGUGAGGUAACGGCUCACCCAGGCGACGACGGGUAGCCGGCCUGAGAGGGCGACCGGCCACACUGGGACUGAGACACGGCCCAGACUCCUACGGGAGGCAGCAGUGGGGAAUAUUGCACAAUGGGCGAAAGCCUGAUGCAGCGACGCCGCGUGAGGGAUGAAGGUCUUCGGAUUGUAAACCUCUUUCAGUAGGGACGAAGCGAAAGUGACGGUACCUAAAGAAGAAGCACCGGCUAACUACGUGCCAGCAGCCGCAGUAA
rnacentral:rRNA from 1 species